rnacentral:rRNA from 1 species
GUGUCAGCCGCCGCGGUAAUACGUAGGGACCAAGCGUUGUUCGGAUUUACUGGGCGUAAAGGGCGCGUAGGCGGCUUGACAAGUCACUUGUGAAAUCUCCGGGCUUAACUCGGAACGGCCAAGUGAAACUGUCAUGCUAGAGUGCAGAAGGGGCAAUCGGAAUUCUUGGUGUAGCGGUGAAAUGCGUAGAUAUCAAGAGGAACACCUGAGGUGAAGACGGGUUGCUGGGCUGACACUGACGCUGAGGCGCGAAAGCCAGGGGAGCAAACGGGAUUAGAUACCCGCGUAGUCC